GGACCUGUGGUCACGAUCAUGUGACUUGGGGGCAGAGCUAAAGUUCAUGAAGCAGCCAGGAGAGCAGAGUAGCCCCAGGAGACGGGGACACGCGUGCCGGAGCUGAGAGACAGAGGCAGCGGAGGAGUCAGAGAAGCCUGGAACUUCAAUUAUUUUCCUCUAAUAACUGGUGGACCGGACGCCUCAGACCUCUACGGCUCUUGUGGCCAAUAUCUUCGAAUCUGGCGAAUUUGUUCAUCCAAAGAAGAUUUUAAAAAGCAAGCCAAGAUUAUGCAAUUAAGAUUCCGUGAGCGCGGAUAUAGUAAUAGAUCUUUAAAGAAAGCAUACCAACGUGCGAAAAUGACAUCCAGACACACUCUUCUACAUGAAAAGAAAACCAAGGUGCCUGAUGACUCUAUUCAUUUUAUAACUGACUACAAUUCACAAAGGAACUAAGAUGAAGAAGGUUAUUGAAAAACAUUUACCCAUUCUGAGAACAGACCCAGUUUUACGACAUUAUGUAUCUUCAAAUCUGAAAAUAAAAGCCAGGAGAUCCAAAAACCUAUGUGACAUACUUGUAAAAGAACUCAUUCUAUGUGUGUUCAACAGCGUCAUUCCUCAGGAAAAGCAAGAAGAGAAAAAAUGUAAAAAAAGAAAAAAGAGUGUAAC